rnacentral:rRNA from 1 species
GAUGAACGCUAGCGGCAGGCCUAACACAUGCAAGUCGAGGGGUAACGGGGAGGAGCUUGCUCCACCGCCGACGACCGGCGCACGGGUGCGUAACGCGUAUACAAUCUGUCCCCUACUGAGGGAUAGCCCAGAGAAAUUUGGAUUAAGCCCUCAUGGUACCGCAUCACCGCAUGGUGUUUGCGGUUAAAGGUUACGGUAGGGGAUGAGUAUGCGUCCUAUUAGUUUGUUGGUAAGGUAACGGCUUACCAAGACUACGAUAGGUAGGGGCCCUGAGAGGGGGAUCCCCCACACUGGUACUGAGACACGGACCAGACUCCUACGGGAGGCAGCAGUGAGGAAUAUUGGACAAUGGGCGGAAGCCUGAUCCAGCCAUGCCGCGCGCAGGAAGACUGCCCUAUGGGUUGUAAGCUGCUUUUAUACGGGAAGAAACACCCCCACGUGUGGGGGUUUGACGGUACCGUAAGAAUAAGGACCGGCUAACUCCGUGCCAAC